UAAGGGCGCACGGUGGAUGCCUUGGCACUAGAAGCCGAUGAAGGACGUUACUAACGACGAUAUGCUUUGGGGAGCUGUAAGUAAGCUUUGAUCCAGAGAUUUCCGAAUGGGGAAACCCAGCAUGAGUUAUGUCAUGUUAUCGAUAUGUGAAUACAUAGCAUAUCAGAAGGCACACCCGGAGAACUGAAACAUCUUAGUACCCGGAGGAAGAGAAAGAAAAUUCGAUUCCCUUAGUAGCGGCGAGCGAAACGGGAAGAGCCCAAACCAACAAGCUUGCUUGUUGGGGUUGUAGGACACUCUAUACGGAGUUACAAAGGACGACAUUAGACGAAUCAUCUGGAAAGAUGAAUCAAAGAAGGUAAUAAUCCUGUAGUCGAAAAUGUUGUCUCUCUUGAGUGGAUCCUGAGUACGACGGAGCACGUGAAAUUCCGUCGGAAUCUGGGAGGACCAUCUCCUAAGGCUAAAUACUCUCUAGUGACCGAUAGUGAACCAGUACCGUGAGGGAAAGGUGAAAAGCACCCCGGAAGGGGAGUGAAAUAGAACCUGAAACCGUGUGCUUACAAGUAGUCAGAGCCCGUUAAUGGGUGAUGGCGUGCCUUUUGUAGAAUGAACCGGCGAGUUACGAUUUGAUGCAAGGUUAAGCAGUAAAUGUGGAGCCGUAGCGAAAGCGAGUCUGAAUAGGGCGUUUAGUAUUUGGUCGUAGACCCGAAACCAGGUGAUCUACCCUUGGUCAGGUUGAAGUUCAGGUAACACUGAAUGGAGGACCGAACCGACUUACGUUGAAAAGUGAGCGGAUGAACUGAGGGUAGCGGAGAAAUUCCAAUCGAACCUGGAGAUAGCUGGUUCUCUCCGAAAUAGCUUUAGGGCUAGCCUCAAGUGAUGAUUAUUGGAGGUAGAGCACUGUUUGGACGAGGGGCCCCUCUCGGGUUACCGAAUUCAGACAA
rnacentral:rRNA from 1 species